CUUGGGUACUCGAGUGGCGAACGGGUGAGUAACACGUGGGUGAUCUGCCCUGCACUUCGGGAUAAGCUUGGGAAACUGGGUCUAAUACCGGAUAGGAACCGUCUUUAGUGUGGUGGUUGGAAAGUUUUUCGGUGCAAGAUGAGCUCGCGGCCUAUCAGCUUGUUGGUGGGGUAAUGGCCUACCAAGGCGUCGACGGGUAGCCGGCCUGAGAGGGUGUACGGCCACAUUGGGACUGAGAUACGGCCCAG
rnacentral:rRNA from 1 species